rnacentral:rRNA from 1 species
UACAUGUGGGGCAAGCGUUGUUCGGAAUUACUGGGCAUAAAGGGUGCGUAGGCGGCUUGUUAAGUCAUUGGUGAAAGUUUUCGGCCCAACCGGAAAAUUGCCUGUGAUACUGGCGAGCUGGAGUGCGUGAGGGGUGGGGGGAACGAGCAGUGUAGCGGUGAAAUGCGUAGAUAUUGCCCGGAAGGCCGGAGCCGAAGGGGCCCCACUGGUACGUAACUGACGCUGAGGCACGAAAGCGUGGGGAGCAAACAGG